CCCCAAAGUAUCCAGAUGGUGAAAUUGUUCGCCAUUUGAAUGGAGAGAGAGACUUCCGGUGGAAUUCCUCUUUAUACCUGCGUCGGUAGUUUUUGCCCUCGAUUUUGCUCAAUCGGUGUACGUCUGGUGCGAAACAUUGCCUCUUGAUUAAUAGUUUUCAAUGGUAGCUAUGAGUUCUAGUAUGAGCUAAGGUCGUGAGAAUCAUUGAAAUUAGACGAGCUCGAGCACGAAGUCAUUUGUCUGCUCGAAUUAAAUAUUUACGGUCCUCAGCUAUCCGGCAGUGAGAAGCACCUCAAAGAUUUCUCACGGCAAGGCAGACCCACUGCGAUCGUUGGCCUCCAAGGCCUCUGCGGUUUAUAUGAAUAUUCAGCUCAUCCACACCCUUCAAUGAGAACGUAUUCGUUGAGUCCAUACGAUUUUGAAUUUUUCUUUGUGAUCCUACCUGGUCCUCAGCUAUUACGCGGUGGGACUCACCGAGAUUAUUGAACAUCAUGUGCGUGAUUUGGCCUCUGUUGUGUAUCCAGUUAAGAGUGUGAAACAACCAUGCUUCAGUGGCUUCCAUCAUGCUUGUUACUGAAAUUGCGUACAACCUUAUAAGUGAAAGUAAUAGGAUGCUUAUUUUGGCAUUAAUGAUUUGCCAUAGUUCCUUUCCUUCGCCACCCCCAACCUGUGUUCGUAUGUGAAAUGAAUGCAGCCAUUGUUUUAAUUUUUUUUCCCCCGAUCAGUCUGGUGAAGAUUGAUUCAUUGUAUGCUUAUAACUCUCCUCAUGGGAAGAUUCCAAUUGGUAAGCUUCUUUGCAACAGAGUCCUUUUUGCCUCAUUUG